rnacentral:rRNA from 1 species
GUUGGGUAGGGGAGCGUUCUGUAAGCCUGCGAAGGUGGCCUGUGAGGGUUGCUGGAGGUAUCAGAAGUGCGAAUGCUGACAUAAGUAACGAUAAAGCGGGUGAAAAGCCCGCUCGCCGGAAGACCAAGGGUUCCUGUCCAACGUUAAUCGGGGCAGGGUGAGUCGACCCCUAAGGCGAGGCCGAAAGGCGUAGUCGAUGGGAAAC